UACGUAGGGUACAAGCAUUAAUCGGAAUGAUUGGGCGUAAAGGGCGCGUAGGCGGCCUAGUAAGUCAGAUGUGAAAUUCCAGAGCUCAACUCUGGAGCUGCAUGUGAAACUGCAAGGCUAAAGAGGUAAGACGGAGAAAGCGGAACUCCACGUGUAGCGGUGAAAUGCGUAGAUAUGUGGAAGAACACCUGUGGCGAAAGCGGCUUUCUAGUUUUAACCUGACGCUGAGGCGCGAGAGCAAGGGGAGCAAACAGG
rnacentral:rRNA from 1 species